AUAUAAAUUAUUAAAUUUGUACAAAUAGAAUUUUAAACCAUAUUAUUUAUAAAGUUUAAAAUCAUUUAUAUCUAUAUGACAAAUCAUCACAAAGAAAUAUGUAUAUAUUUCAAUCAUGUCAUAGAUAUAUAUAUUUACUCCAAUAAUUAUCUAUAUAAUUAGAUAAAAGUAGAUAAAAAUAGAAUAAUUUUAUAAUAUCUU
rnacentral:lncRNA from 1 species